UACAGAGGGUGCUAGCGUUGUUCGGAAUCAUUGGGCGUAAAGGGCGUGUAGGCGGUUUGUUAAGUCAUGUGUGAAAUCCCUCGGCUCAACCGGGGAACGACGCAUGAAACUGGCAAGCUAGAGUACCAAAGAGGGGGGUGGAAUUCCCGGUGUAGCGGUGAAAUGCGUAGAUAUCGGAAGGAACAUCAGUGGCGAAAGCGGCUUCCUGGACCAGUACCGACGUCAGGCACGAAAGCGUGGGGAGCAAACAGG
rnacentral:rRNA from 1 species